UACGUAGGGUGCGAGCGUUGUCCGGAAUUAUUGGGCGUAAAGAGCUCGUAGGCGGUGUGUCGCGUCGGUCGUGAAAACUUGGGGCUUAACUCUGAGCUUGCGGUCGAUACGGGCAUCACUUGAGUUCGGCAGGGGAGACUGGAAUUCCUGGUGUAGCGGUGAAAUGCGCAGAUAUCAGGAGGAACACCGGUGGCGAAGGCGGGUCUCUGGGCCGAUAUUGACGCUGAGGAGCGAAAGCGUGGGGAGCGAACAGG
rnacentral:rRNA from 1 species